CAGUCGCCGCGGGAAUACGGAGGGGGCUAGCGUUGUUCGGAAUUACUGGGCGUAAAGCGCACGUAGGCGGCUUUGUAAGUCAGAGGUGAAAGCCCGGGGCUCAACCCCGGAAUUGCCUUUGAGACUGCAUCGCUUGAAUCCAGGAGAGGUGAGUGGAAUUCCGAGUGUAGAGGUGAAAUUCGUAGAUAUUCGGAAGAACACCAGUGGCGAAGGCGGCUCACUGGACUGGUAUUGACGCUGAGGUGCGAAAGCGUGGGGAGCAAACAGGAUUAGAUACCCCAGUAGUCCCUGUCUCUUAUAA
rnacentral:rRNA from 1 species